rnacentral:rRNA from 1 species
AGUACGGCCGCAAGGUUAAAACUCAAAUGAAUUGACGGGGGCCCGCACAAGCGGUGGAGCAUGUGGUUUAAUUCGAUGCAACGCGAAGAACCUUACCUACUCUUGACAUCCAGAGAAUUGAGCAGAGAUGCUUAAGUGCCUUCGGGAACUCUGAGACAGGUGCUGCAUGGCUGUCGUCAGCUCGUGUUGUGAAAUGUUGGGUUAAGUCCCGCAACGAGCGCAACCCUUAUCCUUUGUUGCCAGCGAUUCGGUCGGGAACUCAAAGGAGACUGCCGGUGAUAAACCGGAGGAAGGUGGGGAUGACGUCAAGUCAUCAUGGCCCUUACGAGUAGGGCUACACACGUGCUACAAUGGCGUAUACAAAGAGAAGCGACCUCGCGAGAGCAAGCGGAACUCAUAAAGUACGUCGUAGUCCGGAUUGGAGUCUGCAACUCGACUCCAUGAAGUCGGAAUCGCUAGUAAUCGUAGAUCAGAAUGCUACGGUGAAUACGUUCCCGGGCCUUGUACACACCGCCCGUCACACCAUGGGAGUGGGUUGCAAAAGAAGUAGGUAGCUUAACCUUCGGGAGGGCGCUUACCACUUUGUGAUCCAUGACUGGGGUGAAGUCGUAACAAGGUAACCGUAGGGGAACCUGCGGUUG